UGAAGAACGUAGCAAAAUGCGAUAAGUAAUGUGAAUUGCAGAAUUCAGUGAAUCAUCGAAUCUUUGAACGCACAUUGCGCCCCCUGGUAUUCCGGGGGGCAUGCCUGUCCGAGCGUCAUUACAACCCUCAAGCUCAGCUUGGUGUUGGGCCCCGCCGCCCCGGCGGGCCCUAAAGUCAGUGGCGGUGCCGUCCGGCUCCGAGCGUAGUAAUUCUUCUCGCUCUGGAGGUCCGGUCGUGUGCUCGCCAGCAACCCCCAAUUUUUUUCAGGUUGACCUCGGAUCAGGUAGGGAUACCCGCUGAACUUAAGCAUAUCAAUAAGCGGAGGA
rnacentral:misc_RNA from 1 species